rnacentral:rRNA from 1 species
AUACGUAGGGGGCGAGCGUUGUCCGGAAUGAUUGGGCGUAAAGGGCGCGUAGGCGGCCCGGUAAGUCUGGAGUGAAAGUCCUGUUUUUAAGAUGGGAAUUGCUUUGGAUACUGUCGGGCUUGAGUGCAGGAGAGGUAAGUGGAAUUCCCAGUGUAGCGGUGAAAUGCGUAGAGAUUGGGAGGAACACCAGUGGCGAAGGCGACUUACUGGACUGUAACUGACGCUGAGGCGCGAAAGUGUGGGGAGCAAACAGGAUUAGAUACCCUGGUAGUCCACGCUGUAAACGAUGAAUGCUAGGUGUAGGGGGUAUCGACCCCUUCUGUGCCGCAGUCAACACAAUAAGCAUUCCGCCUGGGGAGUACGGCCGCAAGGUUGAAACUCAAAGGAAUUGACGGGG